rnacentral:lncRNA from 1 species
CAAAACACACAAAAGCCCAAAUCUUAAAAGGCCCAAAUCUAAAACACGACCCGACCCGACUUAUGUGAAGCAAUAGAUCAACGAUCUCCAUAUCAAGAGCUCUGAUCAACAAUGGCCGCCACAACAUCCUUGGACUCCUUCAGAAGCUUGAUACUGUUCUUAAGCUUCUCCCUCUUGCUCGCCACCGACGGAUACUCCUCCAGCAUCUUCUCAACUACUCCUCCACUACUUGAAUUCACCAAUUCCGCCACGAUCUCCUCAUGUAAUUGAAUGUUCACAAGAUGCCGACAAUGUCACCAUCAAUCAAACUUAGCAGUGGAUGAGUCCUGAAGAUUACUUUCUGCAGGAGACCUUCAGGAGCCAUGUCAGCCUUUGUCACAACAGCCAGAGUCCGUUCACCAGUUUUGUCAACUUGUCUUGACAUGCGAAUGGAUUCGCAUGUGGUGAAGUCGACCGUAGCUGACAGAACAUUGAGGAUUAUUGAUUCUUGAGGCUCGAUGUACUUCAUGAUCAUCCUAGAAAUCUGUUCGUAAAUAUUCUCCGGUUGUCCAUUCACUGGAACUCGAGUUAUACCGGGAAGAUCGACCAUCGUAAGAUCUGGGACAUUGUUCUUCUUAACACUGAGGGUCAGGGGAGUGUCUGAAACUCCUUCACCAGUUCCUGCAGCACAGCAAAACACACUUAACACUACACUGAGAAGGAGAGAGAGAAAACUUACCAGCAAUCACAUCUGUUGCAGCACAAAUAGCUUCAGCGACGUGUUCUUCAUCUGUGGGAACAACUUUGUCACUGUAUUCCAGCCAAAUCUCUGGUUCAGGGCUGGAGCUUCGCUGAAGCCUCAUGACUAGAGGAACCCUAGUGCAGAUUCCUUGUCCACGAGGCAAAUUGAUUCCUGCCAACGACUCAAGAACACUCGACUUCCCUGAAGACUGGUCUCCAACCACCACAAUGGUGGGAAGCUGGAUCCCUUCUCUCAUCACAUUCAGGUUUCUCAAUCUGUCGACAGUGUCAAGCAAUGGCCGGAUCCGGUCAUUGUAAGAUGAUACAAUUGGUGCUUCAAUGGGUGUGUUGACUAUAGAAAGAGAAGACAUCCCAGCUUCGACAUCAAUUUCAUAGUCAUUGGACAUCUUACUGCCUCCCAUUUUUGCACGAGUAUAAACAAAAGAGAGUGAGAGAGGAAAUAAAGGAUUAGAUGCAGAGAAGAAAAGUUUUUAGUGAGUGAAGAGACUCAUGUUGGUGGUGACAUUUAUAGAUUGGCUUGUGGUGACCUUUGGUGUUUUAACUUUUACAAAGAAGAAGUUUGAAAGUUUUUUUUUUGGUUAAAUGUAGAAGUUUGAAAGUUCUUCAUUGUUUUAAGAACAAGAGAUAGAUGUAAAUGUUGACAUCUGAGGUUUGUAACUUUUACGGAGUACAAGAGAUAAAUUUAACUGUUAAAUUACUAUUUUCUAUCUUUGAUUUUUUAGCCGUCAAGGACUUUGUAGUUUGAACCACGAUAGAUUGCAAG